CAACCAUAUGGCUUGAUUCACUGCUGAUGCAGCAACAAUGUACUCUGCUUCUGCAGUGGAUUGAGCUACUAUUUCUUGCUUCUUGGAACUCCAGCUCACCAUUCCAGAUCCAAGAGUAAAACAGGAACCUGAUGUACUCUUCAUUUCAUCAAUAGAACCAGCCCAAUCACUAUCUGUAAAUCCUUUUAACUUCACUUCACAAUUCCUUCUAUAAAAG
rnacentral:misc_RNA from 1 species